rnacentral:rRNA from 1 species
UGAAUACGAGAUGCUAAGGCGUCGAAGUAGUGUAUGUCAUGCUUCCAAGAAAAGCUUGCAAUGUCAUGAAUAAAAAAUGCCUGUACCAUAACCGACACAGGUGGGUAAGUAGAGUAUACUAAGGGGCGCGAGAUAACUCUCUCUAAGGAACUCGGCAAAAUAACUCCGUAACUUCGGGAGAAGGAGUGCCUUAUUCUUAAGGUUGCAAUAACAAGAUCCAAGCAACUGUUUAUCAAAAACACAGGUCUCCGCUAAGUCGUAAGACGAUGUAUGGGGGCUGACGCCUGCCCAGUGCCAGAAGGUUAAAGAGGUCGGUUAGCAAUUGCGAAGCUGGUAACUGAAGCCCUGGUGAACGGCGGCCGUAACAAUAACGGUCCUAAGGUAGCGAAAUUCCUUGUCGGGUAAGUUCCGACCCGCACGAAAGGCGUAAUGAUUUGGAUGCUGUCUCGGAGAGGGGCUCGGUGAAAUAGACUUGUCUGUGAAGAUGCGGACUACCUGCACCAGGACAGAAAGACCCUAUGAAGCUUUACUGUAACUUGAAAUUGAAAUUGGACUUUAUUCGCGCAGUAUAGGUGGUAGGCGUUGAUUAUAAUCUUGCGGGAUUAUCGGAGCCAUCAGUGAGAUACCACUCUUCUAAUGUUAGAUUUCUAACUUUGAAUCUUAUCUGGUCAAAGGACAAUUUCAGGCGGGCAGUUUGACUGGGGCGGUCGCCUCCUAAAUGGUAACGGAGGCGUACAAAGGUUUCCUCUGAACGGUUAGAAAUCGUAUCUAGAGUGUAAAGGCAUAAGGAAGCUUGACUGUGAGACCUACAAGUCGAGCAGGGACGAAAGUCGGUCUUAGUGAUCUGACGGUACUGAGUGGAAAGGCCGUCACUCAACGGAUAAAAGUUACUCUAAGGAUAACAGGCUGAUCUCCCCCAAGAGUUCACAUCGACGGGGAGGUUUGGCACCUCGAUGUCGGCUCAUCGCAUCCUGGGGCGGUAGUACGUCCCAAGGGUUGGGCUGUUCGCCCAUGAAAGCGGUACGCGAGCUGGGUUCAGAACGUCGUGAGACAGUUCGGUCCAUAUCCUGUGUAGGCGUUAGAAUAUUGAGAGGAGCCUUCUUUAGUACGAGAGGACCGAGAAGGACAUACCUCUGGUGUACCAGUUAUCGUGCCAACGGUAAACGCUGGGUAGCUAUGUAUGGAGUGGAUAACCGCUGAAAGCAUCUAAGUGGGAAGCCCACCUCAAGAUAAGUAUUCUCA